CAAAAGUACGNGAAACAGUUUAGGGGUAAACGGAAAAGAACUAAAAAUCCGAAAAGGGAGAUUCACGUCUUCUCAUAUGGUUAAAUAUAAUAUUUUUAAGGAUAAUUUAUAAUCUAAUACUUUUGUGUUAUUAUUAUUUAUUGCCUUUAUUUAUUAUAUAAUAACAAUGGUAGACCGACCAAGGAGUCUAACAUGUGCGCAAGUCAUUUGGUUAUAAAACCAAAAGGCAUAACAAAAGUAAAGUAAGCUUUGCUUAAUUAGGGAAGAUAAUUAUAAACAAAAUAUUUUUGUUAUAAUUCGCAUUCCCGGGGCGUCUAUUACUCAUUGCGAGUAAAGGCGCACCAAGAGCGUACAUGUUGGGACCCGAAAGAUGGUGAACUAUGCCUGGCCAGGAUGAAGCCAGGGGAAACCCUGGUGGAGGUCCGUAGCGAUUCUGACGUGCAAAUCGAUCGUCAGAGCUAGGUAUAGGGGCGAUAGACUUAUCGAACUAUCUAGUAGCUGGUUCCUUCCGAAGUUUCCCUCAGGAUAGCUGGUGCCAAUGAUGAUUAGAGUCUCAUCUGGUAAAGCGAAUGAUUAGAGGCCUUGGGGCCGAAACGACCUCAACCUAUUCUCAAACUUUAAAUGGAUGAGAGCCUUGGCUUGCUUAAAAGUGAAGCCAAGGAUUUGGAUCUAGGUGCCAAGUGGGCCAAUUUUGG
rnacentral:rRNA from 1 species